rnacentral:rRNA from 1 species
AGAGUUUGAUCCUGGCUCAGGACGAACGCUGGCGGCGUGCCUAACACAUGCAAGUCGAGCGAGAUCCAACCGGUGCUUGCACCGGUGAAGAUCUAGCGGCGAACGGGUGAGUAACACGUGAGAAACCUGCCCCAGACUCUGGGAUAACUCGGGGAAACUCGAGCUAAUACCGGAUACCCUCAGAGGAUCGCAUGGUCUUUUGAGGAAAGUUUUUCGGUUUGGGAGGGUCUCGCGGCCUAUCAGCUAGUUGGCGGGGUAACGGCCCACCAAGGCAUCGACGGGUAGCUGGUCUGAGAGGACGAUCAGCCACACUGGGACUGAGACACGGCCCAGACUCCUACGGGAGGCAGCAGUGGGGAAUCUUGCGCAAUGGGCGAAAGCCUGACGCAGCAACGCCGCGUGCGGGAUGAAGGCCUUCGGGUUGUAAACCGCUUUCAGUAGGGAAGAAAUUGACGGUACCUACAGAAGAAGCCCCGGCCAACUACGUGCCAGCAGCCGCGGUAACACGUAGGGGGCGAGCGUUGUCCGGAUUUAUUGGGCGUAAAGAGCUUGUAGGCGGUUCGGUAAGUCGGGUGUGAAACCUCCAGGCUCAACCUGGAGACGCCACCCGAUACUGCUGUGACUUGAGUCCGGUAGGGGAGUGUGGAACUCCUGGUGUAGCGGUGAAAUGCGCAGAUAUCAGGAAGAACACCAGCGGCGAAGGCGGCACUCUGGGCCGGUACUGACGCUGAGGAGCGAAAGCGUGGGUAGCAAACAGGAUUAGAUACCCUGGUAGUCCACGCCGUAAACGUUGGGCACUA